GAAAAGAACUUUGAAGAGAGAGUUCAAGAGUACGUGAAACCGUUCAGGGGUAAACCUGAGAAACCCAAAAGAUCGAAUGGGGAGAUUCAUCGACGACGAAGCUGGCUCCCGUUGGCGUGCGAUUCCCCCGUUGGGACCUCGGUUCCAGAACGCGGGGUACACCCCUUCGGCGAAUAACCGGCGACGUAGUCGUGCACUUCUCCCUUAGUAGAACGUCGCGACCCGUUGUGUGUCGGUCUACGGCCUGGGCUAUUUGCCUGUCGCGGUGGCAUUCGUUCGCUCGCGGCAGAGGCUCGGUCGCCCGGCCGGCUGCACGACGGUACUCCGACGGUAUCGGGCCGCAACCAAUCCAUUCUCGAAUGGUAUAUGCGUCCAGGCCCGUCGCAAGCUCGGACAGCACCCGGAGCGUGUGGACGCAGCGCCCUCCCCGGGUCUGGCCAGCUGUUAGCAGACGGUGUCCUCGGACCGGCCAAGCUUCGAAUUACCGGUCAGCGACGCUAUUGCUUUGGGUACUCUCAGGACCCGUCUUGAAACACGGACCAAGGAGUCUAACAUGUGCGCGAGUCAUUGGGACAUUGAAACCUAAAGGCGAAAUGAAAGUGAAAGUCGUCGUAAGCGUCGACCAAGGGAGGAUGGGCCGCGUCACGUCGCGGCCUCGCACUCCCGGGGCGUCUCGUUCUCGUUGAGAAGAGGCGCACCCAGAGCGUACACGUU
rnacentral:rRNA from 2 species